GACGUAGGGCGCGAGCGUUGUCCGGAUUUAUUGGGCGUAAAGAGCUCGUAGGCGGCUUGUCGCGUCGAAUGUGAAAACCUGGGCUCAACUCGUGGCUUGCAUUCGAUACGGGCAGGCUAGAGUUCGGUAGGGGAGACUGGAAUUCCUGGUGUAGCGGUGAAAUGCGCAGAUAUCAGGAGGAACACCGGUGGCGAAGGCGGGAUCUCUGGGGCCGAUAC
rnacentral:rRNA from 1 species